CGCUUCUGCGCGCACCCGCCGCAGCUGGCUCUCCUGCGGGCCCUGGUCAAGUCCUUGGGCCCCCUCGGUUCUCCCGCGGCGCACGCCAGACCGCCGAGAGUGUCGUUUAGUUCAUUUGCUCGUUAAAUGUAGACUUUUCCGCUUUCAUGAACACGCCCUUCCUGUCUGCCCGAGGCAGAGAUCUGAACACAUGAAGAGCCAUCACCAUAUGGAAAAAUGAGUGAGUUCUGUCACUGCAAUCACGAAAACCAAGACUGAGUCCCCUUUGGGAUGGGAGUGCUAAACUGGGCUCUCCCAUAAGAGAAGAAAAGAGUGUACAGCCUUGUUAGAACCCAUGAGGCCACCAGGGCCUGAUAGAACCCAUUAGGUCACUGGGCUGGAAGCUCCAGGCCCCAUGAAACUGGGCACAGAGAAUCUACAGGCUGCCAAGAUGUUUAUGGCUUGGAAAAGCCCAGCACCUGGGACAUUUCAAACUGCUGAGACAACACACUGUAAACCUCACCAAGGAGCCUUCCUGCACCUUCCCCACCCACCUGUCAGCAUCCAUGCGGCACUCUGCACCUGCCCCAACAAGCAGCUUAAGAAGGGACUCUGCCUGUUGUGCAAACAGAACGAAGCCUGGCUUCAAGCCCCCUGCUCUGUCUAGGUUCACAGCCAGAGGCAUUUUGUUGGAACUCUCCUCUGCAUGCAGUGUCGGAUCUGAUUUUCAGCCCAUGGGACUGGUUUGGAUCUUUUAUAUUCGAUGUCAAUUAAGUAGAACUCAGUUUCAAAGUAUGCCAUGCUGUUCAGAAUUAAAAGAGAAAGCAAUUCUCUCAAGGAAGAUUUGAGUCCUCAGGAUCCGUCUGGAGCCUCUUUCUUUUUCUGAUUUUCUUUCCCACCCUUAGGCAUUGCUGUUGAGUUCUCCCCAUUCUCGUCCUCAUUCAGAGGAUAACUCUUGGGGUCAAGGACUGUGGAUUUCAACUUAUGUUCAGCUUCCAGAACAUUUUGGGAAUCUAAUGACUGCUUAAUACAAAUGCCACUUGUAUGUGCUACAGCUCUGGGCUUGUGACCCUGGGAGCCAGUCAGAUCACCUCUCAGUGGACCCUAACCAACACCAACAGAACCAAUGGCCCCUGUGGGCAAUCUGUUACUGUCCGACAUGCAGCCUUGCAGACACAAAUUUUCCCUCUACCCAGGGAUGCUGGGAAUGCCAGCUGCCCUUUGAUUUCCCCUGUUCUUGCUUUCUUGAGUCAACCUUUAACUCCAGAUUGAUGCCUUGUCUCUUAAUCUGACUGUAAUUGAUUCUCUGGCUUAGUUCAACUCAAAUUGACAAUUGUGAAUAUUCAAGUAUCAGAGGCCACUUUGAUAGAAGUCAAGACAAUUGUAUAAUACUUUGUGGAGUUUCUUCCAAUAUAACCUAAAUAUCAUUUUGAGAUUUAUAAAGGUAAAUUUCUUUUGUUGUGAUAAUUGAAAAUGGAAACAUAUCUUCUUGGAAUAUGAGUUUUCUAUGGAGUUGCAUUUAAAUGCUGCCAGGAAGAUCUGAUUGUAUCAAGGGUGGCUGAAACCAAGAAGUGCUACUUUUUGUCAUCUACCAAGAAGUGUGGAGGUGGGUAGCUUCUGGCUGCAUUUAGUGGCUCAACGAUGCCAGGGCUGGUGUCUCUACAAUUCUCUCAUUUUUUUCCCUUGUGGCUACAAGCUAGUUGCUGCUGCUCUAGGCAUCAUGGACUACACUGGAAGCAGGAAGAAAAGAGGUGGCAUCAGCCAUGCUAUUCUCCCCUUCCUCAUUUUUUCAUGGCUUAUUUAUUUAUUUGAAAGGCAAAGUUAUAGAGAAUGAGAGAGAGAAAGAGAGAGAGAGAGAGAGAAUAUCUUUAUCUGCUGGCUCACUCUCCAAAUGACUGCAAAGACCAGAGCCAGGCCAGACCAAAGCCAGGAGCCAAGAGCUUAUUCUGGGUCUCCCUUGUGGGUGGCAGGGUCCCAGGGACUUGGACCAUCUUCUGCUGCCCUCUCAGGUGUAUGAGCAGGGAGCUGGAUCAGAAGUGGAGCAGCCAGGACUCCAACCGGCGCCCAUAUGGUAGACUCCAACAGGCUCCACAUUCUGUGCCACAGUGCCAGCCCCCAGUAGUAGUCCCUUUUAACAGAAAAGGAAAAAGUUUCCUAGACAACUCCUAGCAGUCUCCUUAUUACCUUUUUUGGCACUGGGUCACAUAACUACAUGCUAAGAGGUAGGCUGACUGCUUGGUCAAGGAAAUAGGAUUUCUGUGGCUGGUCUAGACAAAUUAUGACUCAUUAUUUAGGGUUGAACACACAUGGGUAUUUCAAAAUGUUCAUGAAAAAAUGGAAUUCAAAGGUAUGUUUGUUAUAGUACAAAAACUUUUUUGAAAGCCAUUCAAAGAUUUUUCAUAAUAGGCAUUUUUCCUGAACAUUUUGAAGAUCCUCUCCUGUUAUUUGAAAUAAAAUCAGGGUUUGGCUAUCAGGGAAGAAUAGUUGUUGAGCAUGAGAUGUGUGGGCCAAGGGAAGUUGAGGGCCUCUGCACCACAGUCUCUUCCUCUCCCUUCCUUUCCCAAAUGCCCCCUUUGUGCCUUUCUACCAAGAUCAGGGUUUCUCCUCCCCCUUUGCUUCUUUCCGCAUUCCUGUGGUUAUUUCCUCCUCGCUUGUGGAUGCCUCGUCCCACCACGACAUUCCCUCAGUUACGGAGAUGAGCGCUGUCCCUCGCGCUGCCCCCCUGCCCUCUGCCCUCAGAGUGGGAAAGAGCACGAAUGCUAAGCUAAGAGCUUUUUUGACUUUCCAAGGUAUGAUAUGAAAUUCUAAAAAUGUAUUAAACUUUUAAGGUUUAAAUUUCAUUUAUUCUCAUCAAAACCCAAUGUCCUGGGUUGAGGAAGACCACCCAUGCCCAGCUGACAAUAAGGCAAUAUUUGUUUUUUUUAAAAGAUUUAUUUAUUUAUUUGAAAGUCAGAGUUAAAGAGAGAGAGACAGAGAAAGACAUAGAGAGAGAGAGAGAGGUACUCCCCAACUGGCCGUAAAAGCUGGAGCUGUGCCGAUUGGAAGCCAGGAGCCAGGAGCUUCUUCUAUGUCUCCCACUGGGUGCAGUGAACCAAGGACUUGGGCCAUCUCCACCACUUUCCCAGGCCAUAGCAGAGAGCUGGAUUGGAAGUGGAGCAGCCAGGACUCAAACCGGCACCCACAUGGGAUGCCAGCACUGCAGGCAGCAGCUUUACCCACUACGCAACAGCGCCGGCCCCAAUACCCGUUUUCACUAAAGGUUGUGCUGAUGUUAAGUGUUGGCUGAUUGAAAAGAUAAAGGAGAAAAAAUUAGCAAAAUCCUUGCUAUUUCCCAGAGCAGGAAUGAGCCGAGCUCAUUCUCCAGCUCUCCUGCUUGCACAUCUGCUGGACAUCCCACCCCACUUCCUCUCCCAAGUGUCCUCCUUUGCACCCCUUUUUCCCUUUCUACUUCUGUGUCUUCUGCUGACUGGACCCUGUGUUGCACCUCGUGAUCCCUUUGAGUUCAGAAUUGCCUGCGGCUUCCCUUUCAUCAUUUCGGAUUUGCCUGAGGUAGAUGACUGCUUGCUCCAGGUUCCACUCACCACUCUGUGCUAGGGAUGAUGAGCUUUCCAGAGUGUUCUAGGGCUAAUGUGUCCCUGGCCAUGGGCCAGCAGGUACAAUGGGAAGAAUCACCAUGUUCCUAAAGUUGUAAUUAUGAAAUGCAUGAAGUUUGUGUUCCUUAAAUAGAAGGUUUCGAAAAAGAGAAAAAUGGGCUGUUCAUGAUAUGUUAAUGAAUAGACAUGGCUGUAUUCCAGUAAAACUUUAUUUACAAAAACAAAAAAAAGAGUUACUCUUCAUUUUGUAAAGAAGUUACUGAUGUAAUAUGAGAUGUGGUACUUGAACAUGAACAGUUUGAGGAGUUCUUCAAAAAUUCAUGGGAAAAGUGUAUUGUGAAAAUGGUAUGGGCAUCAAACAUUUUUGCACAAAAGUAAACUUACUCACACAAUCUCUUUUGAAGUACCCUUGUAUGUGGCUUCAAUCUCCUUUUAAAAAAAAAAUCGCAUUGGCCAGCGCCGCAGCUCACUAGGCUAAUCUUCCGCCUGCAGCGCCGGCACCCCGG